CCCGACCUAGCUCAGGCUGGCUAGAGCGGUCGCCUGUAGAGCGACUUGUCCCCGGUUCAAAUCCGGGGGUCGGGA
rnacentral:tRNA from 1 species